CUCGUAGGCGGUUCGUCGCGUCCGGUGUGAAAGUCCAUCGCCUAACGGUGGAUCUGCGCCGGGUACGGGCGGGCUGGAGUGCGGUAGGGGAGGACUGGAAUUCCCGGUGUAACGGUGGAAUGUGUAGAUAUCGGGAAGAACACCAAUGGCGAAGGCAGGUCUCUGGGCCGUUACUGACGCUGAGGAGCGAAAGCGUGGGGAGCGAACAAG
rnacentral:rRNA from 1 species